rnacentral:rRNA from 1 species
AUCGAACGCUGGCGGCAUGGCUAAAACAUGCAAGUCGAACGCGAAUGGUAGCAAUACCUAGUAGAGUGGCGGACGGGUGAGUAAUGCAUUUCUAACGUACCCCGAGGUUAGGGAUAGCUGUGGGAAACUGCAGGUAAUACCUGAUGAUCUGGCGAGGCUGUAUGGCUUUGCCAGCAAAGGCUUGUAUGCCUUGGGAGCGGGAAAUGUGGUAUCAGGUAGUUGGUGGGGUAACGGCCUACCAAGCCUUUGACGCCUAGCCGGUGUGAGAGCACGACCGGCCACAUCGGGACUGAGACACUGCCCGGACACCUACGGGUGGCUGCAGUAACGGAUCUUCCGCAAUGGGCGCAAGCCUGACGGAGCAAUGCCGCGUGCAGGACGAAGGCCUUCGGGUUGUAAACUGCUGUCAGGGUUUAGCAACACAAUGAGCAAACCCAGAGGAAGAGAUGGCUAACUCUGUGCCAGCAGCCGCGGUAAU